GUUCCCGUCCAUACCCACGCCGCUGGCUUUCUCUAUCUCCCUCUCACCAACCCACCCACGCCGCCACUGCUUCUCUCUCUCUCUCCCUCUCUCUUUCUCUCUCUCACAGACCCACGCACCCAAAUCCCUAAACCCCCAUCCCCGUCUCCCACCUGAAGCUCCAUCAUGGCUCCUCGCUGCUCAAAGCCCACUGCCGCCUGAAGCUCCAUCGCGGCCUCAAGCUACUCAAAGUCGCCGACGCCUCAAGCUGCCUCUAUGCCGCCAUCGUCGCCUCCUCGCUGCCUUAAUGCCACCGCCGCCUUCGGCUCCAUUGCUCCAGGUAAUUUUUUCUCUCCCAAUCAGUGCUAUGGAGGCGGCCGCAUAUACACAUACAUAUAUCUAUACGCAUAUACACACACAUAUAUCAAUCGUUUCUCUGUUCAUGUUAUGUUAGGAUUUGAAUACUCUGAUUGUCCAUUUGAUUAUCUGACAUCGGAUUCGAGUCUUGAGUUUAGCUUUGAUGCUCGGUAUGUUAUGUUAGGAUUUGAAUACUCUGAUUGUCCAUUUGAUUAUCCGACAUCGGAUUCGGCUCUCGAGUUUAGCUUUGAUGCUCGGUUGCGGUGGUAGUUUUUAUGUUUUAUGUUUUUGGGCCAAGCAUGCGAAGUAAAAUGCCGGUAAUUUUGGCCCAAAUCAUAAUUUUGAAUACUUGGUUGUUCUUUAUCAUCAUAUGAUUUAGGACUAGCUGUUGGCUACAGUUUAACUCACGUGGAAUUUAACACUGGAAUGUGAACGUAUGGUGUUGUAUAGGUAGGACUAGAUUUUAGGAUGCUUUAAUGACUUCAAAAACAACUCCAUGUUUGAAUAUGGCUUCUUCAAUCAGCAAUUGCCCAGAGUGGUGGUUUGGUGCGCUUACCCUUACAUGCUUACUUGACUUUAUUUAACUCCACUAAUAUUGUGUGUGUGUUCUCAUUUUCUCUAUCCUAUUUAUCUAUCCUAUUUAUCUGUUUUUCGUUAAGUUUUCCAUCUUACCAUUUCUGAGAUUUUCAAAUGUUCUGUUGCAAUAUGCAUCCUCCUCCAUAAAGUAUCUUGGUGGGGGGAUGGCAGGGGCAAAAUGUACCUUUUAGUAGAAAAUCAACAUCAUCUUUGUUAAAGUAUUCCCAGCUGAUCGUUGUUAAAGAUUUUGAUUUAGAGGUCAACUGAGUGUCAUACCUAAUUGGAGAAAAACAUUAAUAUUACUAACAUGUUUUAGUUCAACCCAAAAAUGCAACAUCCAUCACCAUUUACAUGGUGCACUUAUUUUUCUUAUAAACAUCAACAGCUGACUUCAAUACAAAAAAAGAUGUUGUGAUGGCUUUGCAUUUUUUUCACAAAAAGAUACGAGUUCACAAAAAAGUUUGUCAAGAAAAAAUCUACAACCCCCACCCUCCCUGCCCCAAUCCCCCAUCCCAUUGGGCUACAAUGCUAGCCUAUAUUUCCCAUACAGAUAGAAUAGCAUAAGGUUGAUAUAUUGCUAUGAAGAUGGUCAUUAAAAGUAGGAUUAAGAUGGGAAUAAAAUGGAGUUGUUUUAUAGCGUAUGCCUCCCCUCGAUUGGCGGUGAUGGGGGGUUCGAGGAACCCCCGACGGGGGUUCGUUCAAGGGCUCCUCGAGCCCCCGACCAGCGACGGUUGGGGGCUCUAAGGGUCCCCGACCAGUCCCCUCAUUCACAACUCACAAGCCAAAACAACGAGCCCAUCUCUCUUUCCCUCUAUUUCUGCUUCUUGCAAAUUUUUCAUUCUCAGGUUUUGGGUUCACUUCAUCUGAAAAAAUGAAAUGGGAAAAGUUGUCGAUUCAGAGCCGGGUUGGGACGAGGUGGGGACACACCUGCAACGCUAUUAGAGGCGACAAGCUUCUCUUCAUAUAGGUGUUCGAUUCAGAAGAGGGUCUAGCAAUGUCGCUGGCCAAAUACACUGUCUAUCUGUUGGAUAAGUUUCCCAAAGAGAUGUGCUUUCACCGUUAUGUUGUCUGAAGAUUCUCUAAUCAAGUUACUCAGGUGACGACUCUAAUUUUUUUGGUCUCUUUUUGGUCAAAUUUUUUGUUUCUUUUUUUUUCCUAUUUGGUUCCUGAGAAAAAAUAGUAAUUUAGUAUAUAUAUGUAUAAAUUGAGGGUAAAUUGAGGGUCUGACCUGUGACUUCAUGCUACUAUCUGAUGCUUGCCGUGUUAAGAUUAUUAUUAGAGAAAUUGAGGGUAAAUUGCCAUAUAUAAAUUGAGGGUAAAUUGAGACGUGGACUCUGGAGGCUCAUCUAAAGAGGGUGUAACCACUUAAGCAUGUUUCAUUUUGGCGGCUUUUAUUCAUAUAUGAUAUUUGUAAACAUGCUGUGUGAUGUGUUCCAAUAGGUGUGUUUAUUAUGAAUGAUUGGACUUACAUUUGUGUCUAUUCACUAGUUAAGAUUAGGGGUGCUCAUAAAUCAAGGUUAGCAUGAGAGCCAAACAAAACCAAUGUGAUUGGGUUAGUUUGGUUCAAGUUUUUUUUUCAAUUUGGGUUAAUUUUAUUUUGCUUCUUUUUCUUUUCUUUUCUUUUUCAUUUGGACUCAAUUGACAUCGAGUCGAGUCCAAUUAGACCAUUGAGUUUGUGGGCCAAAGUAAUACAUUAUGCCCCAUUUGCCUAAAAUUACCUUUCUUUUUUAUUGGAUCUAUUGUUUAAUAGCUGAUUUUUGUACUAAGUCACUUUAAGGACCAAGGGUUGACUAUCUGAUGCUUGCCAUGAUGCUUCCCUCUUAGAAUUGUAAUGUUGAUAUGUUGUACAGAUCCACAGCAUGGAGCAUUAUGGGGAGUGCAGGUAUGCUUCUGGUUUUUCUUCUUUGUACAAGUUAUUGUAUUUCUUUUCUUUUGCUAAUUUCUAUCUUGUGCAAUCUAUAGUUAACUAUAUUGUCUAUUUUUCAAGCUUAACAAUUACAAUAAUCUUUCUAAGUCCCCUCAACAUUGUAGAAUACAUUAUAGUUUCAUUUAUAUGUUUUGAGAAUUAUUUUCAAAAAAAAUUCUUUCAAAAUAAAGUAGUUAUAGGAAACCAUAAAAAAGUAUUUUAUGGGUUCAGUUGUUGAAAUGAUUAUUAUAUGAAUAUGAAAAUUAUAUGAAAUCAAUGUUAUUUUCGGAUGAUAAGAAGAAGAAGAAGGGGUAGAAAAAGAAGGCGGUGGGCUUUUUCCUGUGAUUAAAGUUGUAGGCGAGAUUGAGGAGAGACGUAUAAUGGGGAAAGUACGAGGAAAGAAGAGGGCAACAUAGGUUAUUUCCCGGAAAAGAUUCUAUAUUCAAUGGACUGAGUGGCUUGGUGGAUUACCUACUGGGUCAUUGCUGAAAAUAUCUCUGAAGAAGAAAUCAAAGGUUUUAAAGCAAUGUUCACUUACAUGGACACAGAAUAUGAUGGCACUAUUACCUAUGAGGAACUAAAGUCGGGAUUGGCUCAGCUUGGGUCAAAGUUGUCUGAGGCUGAGGUCAAGCAACUCAUGGAAGUUGUUGAUGUGGAUGGAAAUAGAACAAUUAACUAUAUUAAAUUUAUCACUGUAAUUAUACACAGACAAACUAGAAAGAGAUGACCAUCUAUAUAAAGCAUUUUAGUAUUUUGACA